rnacentral:rRNA from 1 species
UACGAAGGGGGCAAGCGUUGUUCGGAAUUACUGGGCGUAAAGGGCGCGUAGGCGGCUUAUCAAGUCAGGCGUGAAAUUCCCGGGCUCAACCUGGGGGCUGCGUUUGAUACUGAUGAGCUUGAGUGCGGGAGAGGAUAGUGGAAUUCCCAGUGUAGAGGUGAAAUUCGUAGAUAUUGGGAAGAACACCGAUGGCGAAGGCGGCCAUCUGGCCCGACACUGACGCUGAGGCGCGAAAGCGUGGGGAGCAAACAGG